rnacentral:pre_miRNA from 1 species
AUUCUACUCCCUUCGUCCAGAAAUACUUGUCAUCAAAAUGGAUGAAAAUGGAUGUAUCUAGAACUAAAAUACAUCUAGAUACAUCCAUUUCAAUGACAAGUAUUUCUGGACGGAGGGAGUAUUUA